rnacentral:lncRNA from 1 species
UCUACAUAUUACCCUCCCCAGACCCCACCUGGUGGGAGUAUACUGGGUAGUUGUUGUUGUUCAUUGUCAAGCAUUCUCAUUAAGUCCCAUAGAUGACCUUUUUUGAGAUUUUUUGAGAUUGUUUACCAACCUUUGAACCCGUGACCUCGUAGUUUGGAGAGAACUUCCCAACCACUUUCAAUAUAGUAUAGAUGACUUUAUACUUGUGUCACUCCUUGCAGAUGUUAGCAUUGUCACCUUCAACUUGCUAUCUCAUAAGUUGCCUAAUUAUUUUUGCGCUUUUGGCAUUCUUUGAGACUGCCAGAACAGCUAGUGCUAUAGUCCCUUCUAUGCGUGUUUUUGCUUAUGCUAUCAUAAUGCUGAGCUUAUGCAUAAGAAACUUGGGCUAUUAUUCAUACGUACAUGUAGCUCCCUGUUUCUUGUGUAAAAUAGAAGAAAAUUGAUUUGUAGUUGAUGUGCGAUUGUUUUAACAUGAUCUCAUCAUUGCUGAAGAGUAAUUAAUGUGUUGGUCAAUUUCCUUCUUCAAAUUGUCUUACCUCAGACGCAUAAUUGCUUCUGUUGGUUAAGAUUUGUCCAGCCUUUUAGCUGAUUGAUGAAAAACGUUAUGCUUAUUCUACGUAAGGGUUGGCUCAAUUUGAACCAUGUCAAAGCUAUGUGCCCUUUAUAAAUAAAACAGCAAGUUGGCAUAGCAAGUACUAUCAAAGCUUUGUGAACAUAGAAGGUGGACAUUUAAAAUUAUAUAUAUUACUCCCUCCGGUCCACAAUAAGUGACCAAUUUGCUUUUGGGUAUACCCAUACUAAAAUCUAGACAAAAAUAGUUAGUGUGACUAAAUUACCCUUAAUUAAAUUGUUGCAGCAUAAUUUAAUGCGAGGAGUAAAAGACUUUUAGGGAUACAUACAUAAGGGUAAUUUUGGAAAACAAAUUUACUUUUGUCUUGAUUAUAUAAAUGAACACUUAUUUUGGACCAAAAUAAAAAAGCAAAUUGGUCACUUAUUGUGGACCGGAGGGAGUACCAAUUAUACAUAAAUUGGAAGGAUUAAAUGUAUAAGGUUUUUAUCGUACACUACUUAGGUAUAUAACAAAGUGCAAGUUUUCAUUUUCAACAUGUUCAGGUCAUAGAUCAAGGUAUGCCUUUUUUGGUUAGAAAAGCAGAAUAUGCUGCUGCUUAUGUCGGGGACUAAUUGGUGUUUCCUCAGUUUUAACUUCUUUUAUUACUCAGCUUGACAUACCUCCUCCGUGUCGUAUUUUUCUCACCCCACCCCCAAAUCUCCAAUCCUUCCCAAGCAUUAGCUUUGCUGACGCACUCUAUUCACUUGCACUUGGAGCUGUAAAACUUGCAGGGCUACAACUUACUCAUUCUAAUAGAUCCAGAUGUAACAGUCAUGGUGG